UUUCCCAUGAGAGAAAUAGACAGAUCCAUCCAAAACUAGCACUAGAUUAGACUGAAUCAACAGAUACGUCAGCAGUAAUUCCAAGAAUGACAACAUAAUUAGAUAUAGCACUUCAUCUGGAUCAGCAUUACACUAAUAUCAUCUGUGGAACCUCGAGAAACAGAUAGAUCGACAAGCUUUUUACAGGCAGCCAAUGGUUCUGGUCUAUCAACUCCUACGCAAUAUGGGCGAGCAAUGUUUACUGCUUCCUGAUUACCAACCCUAUCCCACAAGCCAUCAGAAGCUAGUAUCAAGAACUCAUGAUCAUGGUUGAUCUUUAUAAUUUUUGUCUCAGGCUCAGCGAUUACCCACUGCUUAAGAUGGCCAUCUCCAAUACCCCUGGAUACAGCCAAGGAUCCUUGAAUUCUCCAAACACCAUGGAUCAAAUCAACAUAGCCACCCAAGUUCUCGAUUCUGUUCUUCUCAUCUUCCCUAGAAGGGCGUUGAUCAGAUGUUAGGGCCUCAGCAACACCACUUAUGCUCACCACAGCACGACAAUCUCCUACAUUGGAUACAACAAGAUUUCCCUUUCGAACCAGAGCUGUCACGCAACACGAGCCACCUCGCAAAUCCUCCUUUAGAAACUGAGAAUCCGUGUUCAAAUAGCCGUGUUUUACUGCAUCCUCAAGUUGUUCUUCAUCCCUCUUGUCAAUUUCUUUUACAAUGUUCUUAUCUAAGUAUUCUGAUGCAUACUGAGCAGCUUUAGAACCUCCAUGCCCAUCAAAAAUACCAAAGAAAGCCUGCUUGGGAUCUCCCUGAAGGUCGAGAACAGCAGAGAAGCGAUCCUCCAUAGCCUCUCUUCUCCCUCUUUUACAAUACACGGAAUAUACAGACCCCUCUCUCUCUAUCACCGCUUCCUCAACCGCCGGCGUGAUCGGUACUUCGAACCCCAUGGCCGUCACCGGAAUAUCAAGCCUCGCCGGCCUCUUCCUCUUCAACACCGUCCCCGACGCCGAUGAUCCCAAAGACAAAGCCGAAGUGGAAGCCAAAGUAGAAGAAGGGAGGGCAGAGGGUGGUUUCUGAAGCCGAAGCCGUAAAGGAGAGCAAGGAGAUGAUGGAGAAGAAGAAGAUGAUGACGAUGGAGCCUGCGAAGCUUUUAAAUGGGUUAGUGUUAGAGUUAGAGUUUCAGACGGUGACGGAGAAAUUAACACUGGAGUUUUGUUGUUGCAGAAGAGAGACGAUGAAGGAGAGAAUACGGGAGAAUUGGAGACCGCAACGGAGCACGACAUCCUUUUAAGUUCUUUGUUUGUCUGUUCGUUUUGUCUAGGGCAAGUGACUAGAAAGAAAG
rnacentral:misc_RNA from 1 species